AUGGAGUUCCAAGGGCAGCACGACAACCCCGCCAACCGCGUCGACGAGUACGGCAACCCGUUCCCGCUCGGCGGCGUCGGAGGAGCGCACGCCGCUCCCGGCACCGGCGGGCAGUUCCAGGCCCGCAGGGAGGAGCACAAGACCGGUGGGAUACUGCAUCGGUCCGGCAGCUCCAGCUCCAGCUCGUCUUCGGAGGACGACGGCAUGGGCGGGAGGAAGAAGAAGGGAAUGAAGGAGAAGAUCAAGGAGAAGCUCCCCGGCGGCCACAAGGACAACCAGCAGCACAUGGCGACGGGGACAGGGACUGGAGGAGCCUACGGGCCGGGAACUGGAACUGGUGCAGCCUACGGGCAGCAAGGCCACACAGGAAUGGCCGGCGCCGGCACUGGCACCGGCGAGAAGAAGGGAAUCAUGGACAAGAUCAAGGAGAAGCUGUCGGGACAGCACUGA
rnacentral:rRNA from 1 species